CGCAGGCACAUACCUCGGAGCUGCUGGGCUCCCCAGCUGCAGCAUCCCGCAUCCCUCUGAGACUGAUCCCGAUGCUGUGAGAGCCCCGGCUGAGGGAAGGAAGCUCAAGACAAGAGCUCCAGUGUUUGAGACAAAUCUUGUCCUUUUGUGAAAUGGCACUUCAACUGAGGCGGCAGCAGAUCUCUGUCCUCCUGGAAGCCCAGGGUCAGUGCCAGAAAAAACAACAGCUGAGAGAGAAGAAAGCAGUCCCGGUUUUUUAUUCUUUGGAUAUUGAAGGCAACAUCUUAAUGGGGCAUAAAGAACCAAAAUGCCACUAAGUUGGUGUGAUGAUGAGUUCCUGCUUCUACUCUGCAUAUACUGAAGGACAGUGGUGAGAGAAGACAGAAUGGCUGUGAGAGAAGGUGCUUUCAGGCACUCAUCUACCUGCCCUCAGCUGCAGGAAAGGUACUUUAUGUUGCCUUACCAACCACAGGGAAGAUUGAAGUCAUUAAUAUAGCUGGGAUGAGAGAAAGAGGCAGAAGAUAAGGACAUUUUAUGCACAAGUUUAUCUGCUAACUAAAUGAACAUCCAGAACAGACACUGCAAAAAUACUUCAAAGCAAAACAAAACAGCAUUACAGGGGACACUCACCUUUCAGGGAGCUCAGAAAAUAUUGCUGCUUCCCUUCUGCAGCAUUAGAGCUGUACCGAGUGCUGGAGAGUACAAGGAAUGCAUCCCUGAUCCCGCCUGGCCAAGCGAAUCCUGCUGCACUGCAAGCAAUAACAACUACAUUUACUGUGAGGCAAAGAGAAGCGGAAAAAUAGCAGUAAUGAAGCAAUGCAAGGUAAAAUAACAGGCAGUUAGCUGCUAAGUCCCCUUUCCCAUGGAAACACCAGAAAAGAGAGUUGAAAUAAAAGCAGACUGUACAAAAGGGAUGAUUUCUUCCCAACCCCUGCAGGCAUCCCUGUGAUAUGGGGUGCAGUCAUGGGGUUGGGCUGCUGCUAUGGAAGCCAAUAAACACCAGAGUGCUCAGGAAGUAUUUACUAAAAAUGUUUUAUAUAAAACAGAUGUAGAAAAAUUACAACCUUUACAUGUUUACCGCAACCCACACCCAUAUAUAAAAAUUUGCUACAUUCACCAUUCAUCAUAAAGUGAGAUGAGUAGUGUGACUCAACGCAAAUGUACAAUCAGAACUUGAUAUAUCUUUCCAUUAAUCUUCCAACAUGUCCUGUCAGGCACCUCUUGACAGUCUCUCCCCAGGAUAAUGUCUGGCAAACAUCCCUUUGGAUUAUUCCAAAAUAAAACGUGAUUACUUGGUGUGAUCCUCUGCUCUGCGUGCAGGGCCUAAGAAUAGGUACAUUUAGAUUUAGAAAUAUAAUGCCCAGGAGAGAGCAAAGAACUCCCCGUCCUAGUAGAUACUGGGAGCCAGGGAGAGAACAUUGAAUAAAGCAAAAAGUGUCGUAGUUAGUCUUCAUGUCAGCUGCAAGCGUGUGAAGUCCCCCACAGAUCCCAUUCUGUCAGCCCACAAUUGCUACAUUACACAGAUUGGUUCUUACCCACAUAGAGGGCUUCCGACCCUUAAGAAAGCACUGGAAAAUGCUUUUUCACAGUUCAAAUAAAAUCUCUUUCAAAUAACUUUAAAAAAAAAUCUUUAAAUUUUUGGAAACAAACAAACAAACAACCUUCCCCUCCCUUCUCCCCCUCCCUCCCCCAUCCCACCAUGUUCAUGCGGGAAGAUAAGCAGCCAUGAAAGUCAGGUGCCCCCCCAUCCUUCUCUGCCAGGCAAAACAGUUUCUGAAUUAAGUCCUGAAAUUGGGAAGGCAAUUCCAGGUAUGUUUUCUGUUCUACGUCAAAACAGAUUUGAGUUGGAUCCAAACCAUGUACUCUAGUAAACGAUGGAGAGAUUCACAGAUUUGAUUACCAUUGAAAUCGUUAUA